rnacentral:lncRNA from 1 species
AAAUCCUCCCAGCGCACCCAGAUUGCAUCUUGCAUUUAAAAUCAUUAAAAUCUGAAUUAUACAGAGGCUAUGCAGUACUAGGGAUCUUCCAGGGAAAAUGUAUUUUUGAGUACUCCAGACAAUUGAAACUAGUGAGCCCACUGUCUGGGGAAAGCAUCUGUAACCGCAGCCAAAAGAGGAACAAGAUUUCCGACGUUGUUUCAAGACAUGCGUUUGAAGCAUGGGUUCCCAUCACUUUCAGAGCAAGGGGUUAUCACAGGCCAGCUGACAGAGUGGAAAGCAGAGCAGUAAGAAUGGGAGUAAACCAAGAUUUUAUACUGAAUUUUGUACUGGUGUGGAUGAAGAGCAACCGCCAAUUCUGAUAGACUAUUGUGCAUAUCCUUGUCCACUGAAUGGCAAUUUAUGUGGCCCCGUGAUCUGUCAUCAUAUGUCCAAGCAUCUUGUGGGAAAUAAUGGAAAGAGCUUUUUAAAGGCCACAGAGAGGUGAUAGCUUGGGAAAAAAAGCUAAUUAAAGUAUGUUUUUGAAAUUGUGUUUUAAGAUCUUUCAUUAAAAAAACAAGCUUAAUAUAAAGUAAGAUAGAUCAAGAGUGUGCUAAUGUCACUGCAGAAGCAGCACUCCAGUAGCAGAUUGCAUACGUUUAAGUGAUUCACAUAUCUUGAUUUGAUUUGGCAAAUGAAAACCUUAUCUUACUCUAAGUCAUUUUUACC